rnacentral:rRNA from 1 species
AGCGAACGCUGGCGGAAUGCUUAACACAUUCAAGUCGCACGGGGGCUUCGGCCUUAGUGGCGGACGGGUGAGUAACGCGUAGGAACGUGUCCUGGACUGGGGGAUAACGCUGGGAAACUGGCGCUAAUACCGCAUAUCCCCUGAGGGAGAAAGCCGCGAGGCGGUUUGGGAGCGGCCUGCGUCCGAUUAGCUUGUUGGUUAGGUAAUGGCUGACCAAGGCGAUGAUCGGUAGCUGGUCUGAGAGGAUGAUCAGCCACACUGGGACUGAGACACGGCCCAGACUCCUACGGGAGGCAGCAGUGGGGAAUAUUGGACAAUGGGCGCAAGCCUGAUCCAGCAAUUCCGCGUGGGUGAAGAAGGUCUUCGGAUUGUAAAGCCCUUUCGGCGGGGACGAUGAUGACGGUACCCGCAGAAGAAGCCCCGGCUAACUUCGUGCCAGCAGCCGCCGUAAUAC